UAGCAUCGUGGUGUCGGGGAAUAAACUCCAGAACAGACGGAUCGCGGAUAGGAGGUCAUUUGGCAGUCGCGCGUGAGUUGGGUCGAGCCGUGCGGCGUGCGCCGCAGGAGGCCGAUUGCGAGUGACGACGAGCAAUCGGAACGCUAUAAAAGGUGGGUGGUGUCCAUCCCAAAGCAAUCGGGCUCCCUUUUAUGUCUAAGUUUAUAUUGAUCAAAUUGCAUAUUGACAUCUUGCAUUAUAGGGUGAUAAAUGAUGGUUUGGUCCUAUACCUUGCAUGUUCUUUGGUAGAAUAAUGUAUUUGGCUUAGUACUUAUAUCUAGCAUGCUUGAGGUUUAUAUAUGUGAUGUGGAACCCUAUAAUGAGAUGAUAAGUGUGGAUGGGAAUUUAGUNGAUGAUCGUGGUAAGGGCGUAGCGCCCUAGCUAGCUAGUAGAGCUUUCCUAUUGUACUAGAGCACCCUCGUGUGCAUGGUUAUAGAUGACAUGAUGUAUUUUGGAUAGCUAGCAUUAUAUAUGUAAGGUAUCGGACUUCUAAAAUCAUGAAGUUACGGUGUACAUUUGGUUGGAAGACUAUUUGAAAGGUUCUGGUGAAGUUCGGUGAAGUUCGGGAGCAUUCGGGCGUUUCGGUGCGCGUAGGCGCUAAAACGGAACCCGGGAGGCUAAGUGGGCCGUGAGUUAAAUCCGGCAUUAGCGAGGAUGGAAAGAUGAUGAAAACAUGUUUGGAAACAUGUUUGGAGAGUCUCGGUUCGAUUUGAGACGAAUCGGAGGUCAAACGAGCAAAAACGGACGAAAACGGGCGAAAAUGCUGAAAAUUUGGCUGUCCUUGAGGCUGAGUUCUAGACCUUCGGGGACCGGUCUCUUAGCCAAGGACCGGUCUCUCAGGGACCGGUCUCUCACCGCAAGGACCGGUCCCCGAGCGCGAAAAUGGCCCCCGCGGGGGCAAUGUAAUAAAGUGAAAGUUGAGGGGUUUUUAUGCAUUUGUAGCAUUAUGAGAGUGUAUAGAAGUGGGUUUUAGCCCAUUUCUCUCUCUCCCUCAACCGUAUGAACCCAACACCCCUCCCUCUCUCCCUCUCUAACGUGAAGAAGAAGAAGAAGAAAGAGGAGAAGGAAAAGGAGAAGAAGAAAAGGGAGGAGAAGGAGAGAAGCAUCAUCAUCACCACCAUCAUCUUCUUCUUCCUCUCAACCUUGGAGCUAACACCUAGAGGUAAGCUUGAUGCUUAUUAAUGGUAGAUCUCUAGGGCUUGAGCCUUUUGCUCUAGAAUUGGAUUUAGAUGAAUCCUAGCAAGCUUAAUAGAUGUUUAUUGCAUGAAUUGGAGAUCAAUUUGGUGGAUUUUGCCGUAGUACAAAUCUAGGGCUCCAAAAUGGCGAUUUGAUUUACAGGAGGGUUUGAUCUCUUUUAACACUCUGUAAACCUAAUUGGUAGGUCUACGAACGCAACGGUGCGCUCGGUUCGGCGAUCCGACGAGUGUACGCGGAGAUAUUGAGGAUCGAAGCCGUUAAGGUACAGAUUGCCGCAGCUCGCGGCGAAAGCUUCCAAAAAUCAUGGAAAUGGAAUCGUAGCAUCGUGGUGUCGGGGAAUAAACUCCAGAACAGACGGAUCGCGGAUAGGAGGUCAUUUGGCAGUCGCGCGUGAGUUGGGUCGAGCCGUGCGGCGUGCGCCGCAGGAGGCCGAUUGCGAGUGACGACGAGCAAUCGGAACGCUAUAAAAGGUGGGUGGUGUCCAUCCCGAAGCAAUCGGGCUCCCUUUUAUGUCUAAGUUUAUAUUGAUCAAAUUGCAUAUUGACAUCUUGCAUUAUAGGGUGAUAAAUGAUGGUUUGGUCCUAUACCUUGCAUGUUCUUUGGUAGAAUAAUGUAUUUGGCUUAGUACUUAUAUCUAGCAUGCUUGAGGUUUAUAUAUGUGAUGUGGAACCCUAUAAUGAGAUGAUAAGUGUGGAUGGGAAUUUAGUAAUGUAUUGGCUAUUGCAUUGGAAACUUGUAAAGAACGAGUGGCAUCUAGUUGAUAGUAAACAAAAGAACGAGUGACAUAUGUGAGUCGUAGUGUAUAUGAAACCUAUGGACUAUAUGAUGAUUGUGACCCUAGAGGACAGGGUAUCCUCGAGCUUAGAGGAUUGGAUCAUGCUCACGGUCUGUUUUAAAUCUUGUGAUGGAAGCCCCACACAAGUAGUGCGCUCCGGAUGUUGGUCACGCAAGGGAUUGCCUAUUUGGCCCCGCCAGACGGUCUCGGGUCCGUAGUGUGAGUUAAUUCUCCCUACGUGUCGAGAUGGCUAGUGAGCUGUAGGCGAGCCUUCGGGUAAGCCAUGAGAUUAAUGAACAAGUAAAUGAGGUUAAUGAACGAGUGAAUAGCUUCACCUUUGGACAUGAUAACAGGUUAGUUGCUUACCUACUUCAUUGUACAUGCAUUCAUAUAUUAUGAUUGGGCAUAGUAGAGUAGCUUUACUUCUGUCAUUUACCGCUUUCCUUAUCUAUCUAUCUAUCGAUUAUCUACUUGUGCCCAACUUGGACCUAGUGGGGAGAUCGGCGGAGUCGGCGGCCGAACCCACUGGGAACUAAGGAAGUUAGUUCUCACCCCCAUUUUACUACAGGGCCGAGCGCGAGUUCACACGGCGAGGAUCGCGGAUACAUUGGCCCCUAUGAGAUCUUGGAGCGGAUUGGGACGGUGACUUAUCGACUCGCGUUGCCGCCGAAGCUUGCGGAUGUGCACAAUGUAUUCCACGUCUCCAAUCUUCGCAAGUACAUACCUGAUCCCGAGCACGCAAUGUUGUAUGAACCGCCAGAGCUUCAGAAAGACCUGAGUUACGAGGAGUUUUCGGUGGCAAGUACAGCUCGUGAAGUGCGCAAGCUAAGGAAUCGAGAAAUUCCCUAUGUUCGACUCCGGCGGAGCAAUCAUAGCGAUCGCGAUGCCACCUGGGAGCUCGAGGAGGAGAUGAAAACGAAUCAUCCUCACUUGUUCGAGGAUUAAAUCUAGGUAUGAACUUAGAAACUGAGGUUCUAAUUAAGUUUUGUAGUAUUGAGUUCGUGUCGAAGACGAAACUCUUUUAAGGUGGGGAGGACGUAAGGAAGUGAAUUCUCGAAAUCCGAGGAUUUGACUUCGCUUAGAAUCGACUGAUUGUCGAGUGUGUAAGUUUCGGAAAGUCAGAAGGGGGUUAUAAUGCCUAAAGUACAUUAAGGAAGAGUCCGCGAGAGCACCAGUGUGAAAUCUGCACUGGAGAAUAAUUGCUCUCGGGGACUGGUCCCUGGCAGGGAGGGACCGGUCCCAUCAGGCUGGGCUGCGGGAAUCCUUGGGACGACCGGUCCCUGGUAAGGGAAGACCGGUCCCCGAACGUUAGCCCAGCGAGAACAGCCGAAAUUUGGCUAAGUCCCGAAAAUCCAACUCUCGGGAACCGGUCUCUCGGACAAGGACCGGUCUCCCAGGGACCGGUCUCUUAGGCAGGGACCGGUUCCCGAACGCGAAAUCCCUUCUGCCCGAGAUGGAAGACUCUCGGGGAUCGGUCUCCCCGAGCUGGGACCGAUCCCUUACUGCGAAAAUGCCCAGUGAGGGCUGAUUCAGAAGAUGAAAAGUUGAGGGGGCUAUCUACAAAAUGACCUUUAAUAGAGGCUGGGGGACCUCUCUUCCUCUCAUUUGCUCUCUCUCCCUCUCACACUCUUUCUCUCUCUCUCUAGAACGAAAGGAAAAGAAAAAGAGAAGGAGAAGAAGAGAAAGAAGGAAAAGAAGAAGAAGAGGAAGGAGAAGACAAAGAAGAAGAAGAAGAUCAUCUUCUUCCCUCUCUCCUUCAAGCUAGAGCAAGCUUGAAGCUUUGUGUAGAGGUAGGCCUCAAACCCAUCCAUGGUGAAUUUCUUGAGAUUGGGUUUUAUUGCUUAGAAAUGGUUUGAAUGGAACCUAGAGGAGAUAAAUAAAUGGUUCGGGCUCGCAAUUGAAGCUCGCACCACGGGUUUCCUCACCGUUGCUAACCUAGGGCACAGAAUCGGGAUUUUUGAAAAAUCUAGGGCGGGUUUCCUCACCGUUGCUAACCUAGGGCACAGAAUCGGGAUUUUUCAAAAAUCUAGGGUUUUAAUCUAUUUCGAUGGUUUGUAAACCUAAUUGCUAGGUCGCGGAACGCGUCGGCGAAGACGGUUCGUCGAUACGACGAGCGGGUGCGAAGAUAUCGCCGAAUCAAGCGCUUAAGGGUUUGGAUCGACCCGAGAAGGCGAAGCGUCGACCAAGGACUACGAAAUCGAGUUUUCUACUAGCGCGGCAUCACCAAGAGGUGGGUGAUGACCAUCCCGAAGCAAUCGGGCUCCCUUUUAU
rnacentral:lncRNA from 1 species